rnacentral:rRNA from 1 species
GCUUGCUCUCGGGUGACGAGCGGCGGACGGGUGAGUAAUGUCUGGGAAACUGCCUGAUGGAGGGGGAUAACUACUGGAAACGGUAGCUAAUACCGCAUAACGUCGCAAGACCAAAGUGGGGGACCUUCGGGCCUCAUGCCAUCAGAUGUGCCCAGAUGGGAUUAGCUAGUAGGUGGGGUAACGGCUCACCUAGGCGACGAUCCCUAGCUGGUCUGAGAGGAUGACCAGCCACACUGGAACUGAGACACGGUCCAGACUCCUACGGGAGGCAGCAGUGGGGAAUAUUGCACAAUGGGCGCAAGCCUGAUGCAGCCAUGCCGCGUGUGUGAAGAAGGCCUUCGGGUUGUAAAGCACUUUCAGCGGGGAGGAAGGCGUUAAGGUUAAUAACCUUGGCGAUUGACG